rnacentral:tRNA from 4 species
GCCGCGUUAGCUCAGGGGUAGAGCACCAAUCUUGUAAAUUGGGUUGCGAGAGUUCGAAUCUCUCACGCGGCUCCA